GAUAAACGCUGGCGGCGUGCCUAAAACAUGCAAGUCGUACGGGCUUCGGCCUCGGCCGGAGUCAGUGGCGGACGGCUGAGUAACACGUGGGUGACCUACCUCCGAGCGGGGGAUAACUGCCCGAAAGGGUGGCUAAUACCGCAGACGUUGUCGGAUCGUACCGGCAACUCAACCCGCAAGGGGCGUGGAGAGGGGCCCGCGGCCGAUUAGCUUGUUGGUGGGGUAAUGGCCUACCAAGGCGACGAUCGGUAGCUGGUCUGAGAGGAUGAUCAGCCAGACUGGGACUGCGACACGGCCCAGACUCCUACGGGAGGCAGCAGUUAGGAAUUUUGGGCAAUGGGGGAAACCCUGACCCAGCAACGCCGCGUGGGUGACGAAGGCCUUCGGGUUGUAAAGCCCCUUUCCAGGGGAAGAUAGUGACGGUACCCUGGGAAUAAGCCCCGGCUAACUACGUGCCAGCCGCCGCCGUAAAAC
rnacentral:rRNA from 1 species